rfam:Erythranthe guttata cultivar DTN x IM62 scaffold_4550_contig_1, whole genome shotgun sequence.
GGGUGCGAUCAUACCAGCACUAAUGCACCGGAUCCCAUCAGAACUCCGAAGUUAAGCGUGCUUGGGAGAGAGUAGUACUAGGAUGGGUGACCCAAAGUCGAGGACACACACGAAUCAC